GGCGGCAUAGCUCAGUUGGUCAGAGCAUUCGGUUCAUACCCGAAGUGUCGCCGGUUCGAAUCCAGCUGCCGCUACCA
rnacentral:tRNA from 1 species